rnacentral:rRNA from 1 species
GAUGAACGCUGGCGGCGUGCCUAAUACAUGCAAGUCGAGCGAACAGACGAGGAGCUUGCUCCUCUGACGUUAGCGGCGGACGGGUGAGUAACACGUGGAUAACCUACCUAUAAGACUGGGAUAACUUCGGGAAACCGGAGCUAAUACCGGAUAAUAUAUUGAACCGCAUGGUUCAAUAGUGAAAGACGGUUUUGCUGUCACUUAUAGAUGUAUCCGCGCGGCAUUAGCUAGUUGGUAAGGUAACGGCUUACCGAGGCAACGAUGCGUAGCCGACCUGAGAGGGGGAUCGGCCACACGGGAACUGAGACACGGUCCAGACUCCUACGGGAGGCAGCAUAAGGGAAUCUUCGGCAAUGGGCGAAAGCCUGACGGAGCAACGCCGCGUGGGGGAUGAAGGUCUUGGGAUCGUAAAACCCUGUUAUUAGGAAAGAACAAAUGUGUAAGGAACUGUGCACGACUUGACGGUACCUAAGCAGAAAGCCACGGCUAACUACGUG